ACGGCUACUAUAAUCCGCAGUGAAUCCCACAAUAAUAUUUUUAAUUUCAUCAUUAUCUGCUGCUGCUUCAGCUUCAGUUUUGGCUUUGGCUAAUUUAGCUUUAGCCAUGCAAACAAACACAUAAGCUAAUGUAAGCACAAAAGUUGAUAAAUGAACUUGCUUUGAUUUUGAUGAUUUUGAUAACUGAUGAUUAACCUUGUGCCUCAGUUUCGUAAUAUCUUCACGCGUCAACUCAAAUGUGGCUCGGACCAAUUUGUUCAGAGACUCAGAGUCUAAGAAUGGUAAAACCUUCAAGCUCCGUAUCUUCUGGGGGUCCGAAUUAUCCGACCCGACAACCCACUUAUUCAGUUGCAGCAUGUCCUGACCUGUCGGAUCUUUGAUGACAGUCCGGUCGAGAAGAGGGGUUAGUUCAGGUGACAAACAAGGGUGAUGGCAUAAUUGUAAUUGUUUGCACAAAUAAGCCCAAGAUUUCAGGAACAAGGUCGAAGUUUUUCCAUCAAGAAUUGCGUGGUGAGAUGAAACACCAAUUGAGAAG
rnacentral:lncRNA from 1 species